rnacentral:rRNA from 1 species
UACGUAGGGAGCAAGCGUUGUCCGGAAUCAUUGGGCGUAAAGAGCGUGUAGGCGGCCAGACAGGUCCGUUGUGAAAACUAGAGGCUUAACCUCUAGACGUCGAUGGAAACCGUCUGGCUAGAGUCCGGAAGAGGAGAAUGGAAUUCCUGGUGUAGCGGUGAAAUGCGCAGAUAUCAGGAAGAACACCCGUGGCGAAGGCGGUUCUCUGGGACGGUACUGACGCUGAGACGCGAAAGCGUGGGGAGCGAACAGG